UACGUAGGGGGCUAGCGUUGUCCGGAAUCAUUGGGCGUAAAGAGCGUGUAGGCGGUCCGGUAAGUCCGCUGUGAAAGUCGGGGGCUCAACCCUCGAAUGCCGGUGGAUACUGUCGGGCUAGAGUGCGGAAGAGGCGAGUGGAAUUCCUGGUGUAGCGGUGAAAUGCGCAGAGAUCGGGAGGAACACCCGUAGCGAAGGCGGCACUCUGGGCCGGUACUGACGCUGAGGAGCGAAAGCGUGGGGAGCGAACAGG
rnacentral:rRNA from 1 species